AACGAACGCUGGCGGCAUGCCUAACACAUGCAGGUCGAACGAGACCUUCGGGUCUAGUGGCGCACGGGUGCGUAACGCGUGGGAACCUGCCCUUAGGUUCGGAAUAACUCCCCGAAAGGGGUGCUAAUACCGGAUAAUGUCUUCGGACCAAAGAUUUAUCGCCUUUGGAUGGGCCCGCGUUGGAUUAGCUAGUUGGUAGGGUAAAAGCCUACCAAGGCGACGAUCCAUAGCUGGUCUGAGAGGAUGAUCAGCCACACUGGGACUGAGACACGGCCCAGACUCCUACGGGAGGCAGCAGUGGGGAAUAUUAGACAAUGGGCGAAAGCCUGAUCCAGCAAUGCCGCGUGAGUGAUGAAGGCCUUAGGGUUGUAAAGCUCUUUUACCCGGGAUGAUAAUGACAGUACCGGGAGAAUAAGCUCCGGCUAACUCCGU
rnacentral:rRNA from 1 species